GCAGAUGCCUGAAGCCUUCUGAAGUGGUAUGAUGUUACUCUGUAUGGACAGGCACCUGAAGUCUUCUGAUGAGUGCCUGAUCUACAAGAGGAAACCAAGAAAAGUCUAACCUUGAUUUCCUCCUGAACUUUGAUUCCUACCUCAGCAAGUUCAGUCACUUAAAGCACUCAUACUUCUGUCUGAACCCAAGGAGCAAAGUGAGCAGGGGAAGGACCGGUUGGAUUUUACUUUAUCCACAGAGAUUUAAACAUUUUCUACAAUUGCUCAACUGAAUGCCCUUAUAAACAUGCUGUUAAGGGAACUCACCCCUGGUGAUCAUCAGAACAUCAUGACAAUAUGCACAAUUGAUGUACAUGCGAGGGAUGUUGUAGCCACGGUUAUAGCACAGAAGCUGCCAAGACCAAGGAUUGUGCUGCUUCUCUGCGUUCCCAAACACCCUCCUAUACCCACAAUUAAAUCCCAUUGCUAACCUUUGUUCUCUAAAGACGGAUGUCAAAGUAUUUUGAGAGGCAUUGAUUCACCAUUUUAGUCCUGAGUUAAGAGCGACAGACUGGGUAAUAUCACCUCAAUAGUGCUUAUGCUGACCACUACUGUGUGUAAAGCAAAAAUGUCCAACUUCAAAGCUUACAGCAAGGCUUGUUCUUGAUGGCAGUGUAAACAACCUAAGAAAAUCAUAUUCUGCAGUUGCUUCUAAAGUGCUACAACCCUAAAAGUAUGAACAAAUAUAACACUGUGAAACAUGUUUGUUUCUUCAGCUUAAUGCAAUGCUAUCACUCUCCAAGUAUAAUUUUGUAAGUUUGGAAAUAGUUAUAAGAGCAAUACCUUCCUUGCAUGUGGCAACAACAGCUGAUGAGAAAAGCAGGGAAGUUUGAUCACUUAGAUUUCACCAAAUGGGAAGAGGGAGCUAUCAAUUAUCUCUUAGUAAAGCUGUGGGAUCAAUCUGUUGGAGAGGUGUACAAGAAAAAAAAAGGAGGGUGACUCAUGGAGUGGAAGGUGGAAAGAGAAAGCAUCUUGAUCAGGAAAGGACAAAAGAAAUAGUCUGAUUCCUCAGAAGCCAAUGGAGGCAGGCCUGCAAGCAAAGUACAAGGUGAGCAGUUUACAGCAAUAACCAGAAAUACUGCAGGGUUAGAGGAUCAUGCAGAGAUGGUCACAGAAGAAAGCAGAAGUACUGCAGUGCUAAGGGAAAAGGUUUUUACAAAGUCACAGAUAUCAGAAAGCACAUGCAAGACAAUCACAAAGGUGAAGAAGAUGAAGAUCAAGGGUGGAGAAGAGGACUAAUGAGCCUGGGAGAUUUAGGACAAGCAAGGAGAAACACUGGUGCCUGCUGCACAGUAGAUGAAAGUAGAGAGAUUGAUAAAUUGAAGGGAUUUCUUCAAGCAGGUGAAAAAUAUCACUGGGUAGGAAGUGAAGAAAUCUGUCUUGAUUGAGACCAUAAAAAUCUGGUGAGGCAAAAUGAAAGGAAAGGCAUAGGAACAUGAAGCCAAUGGCAGCAGUGUUCAGGAAAUAUAUGAUUGGGAUCCUUUGAUGGUGAAGUAAUAAAAUUAGACUGUAGCAGUGCACUUUGCAUCAUAAGCUUCUCUGUCAAGAAGAAAUAUUGCUACUCCAGUCAUGAAAGAGAUGUUCUCUGCUUCCAAGUUAUACCACACUUUAAAAUUUUGUCAAAGUAAAAGAGCUUAUACAAUGAUGAUUUCAGACCUUUGUGUGAAAUGGUGUUGACAUCAGAACAGCUGCAAAUUCAAGGAGACUCAUGAGAAAGUCUCACCUGUUUUUAAUAACCAUUUAAUGAGGUAAAUGAAAGAUGUCUUCUCCUCCUCCCAGAAUCCAUCCUCUUGUAGGCAUGUGAUUCUAUGAUACAAGAAUACUGUCCUCCUCCUUCUAGCAGCCUGAUCUGAAUAACUGAAUGGAAUACAUCUUGAGAUAGUCCUGAGGUCUGUUCAGAGAACAAGCAAAGCGAUGAAGUAUAUUGUUGUAUUGCCUAACGGAUUUGCUUAUGCUGGAUAUAAACUGUUCUGGGAGAAUUUUCCAGAUAUUGUGGAAGAGCAGGUUGGGCUCCAGAGCUUGGUAUGAGAAAGGACCAAGCAUUAGCUUGAAAUUCCUUACAGUCUACAAAGGACUAAAAUAUUAGAAUUGACUUGUUCUGGUGUUUCGUUUGUUUGGUUUUGGCUUUUUUUGAGGAGUUGCAACUCCCCUUAUCUUUGAACUGUGUAUCACCAGAGGUGACACGCUGUAUAUGACAACAGAGGAAAGUGAACCAGAAUAUCAAUGUCUAGCCCUGUGAGAGACUGAAAUCUCCUGCCUGAAUAUAAGUGGAACGAUAAGGCAAAAGUGUUUGCUCUUGGAAUCCAAAUGUGUGUGCUUCAAGUGAUAAAAGCCUCCAGAACUACUGCUUGAAUCAAUCUUUUGCCAUUUGUUGACGUCUAAAUCCUGUUUACAGAAAACUAGGCUUUGAACACAGUUUGUUUCCUGAAUUAACCUUAGUAGUAAGUGGGAAGGUGAUUCACUGUUCUUACAUACCUAAAGGUAAUAUGAGUGUGAUGAAAUAGGGUUAAAAAGUGUCAUGAGAUUUGAUAAGCAUUCAUACAUUUUAUCUGACUUGGGGCAUUGAACCCAUGGAAACAUUGGCUUUUACACAUCAUUUUCUCAUUCACAAAAUUAAGUAAUUACAUCCUGGGAGAAAUGCACUGGCAUUGAAUAUACAGCAUCCAGACUAUGCCACUACAGGUAGCAGAUUGAGUUUAACUAGCCAUAUGGAUUGUAAUUGUCUAAGUAUGAUUAAUUCAUAAUGUUUCUUAAUUUUAUGCCUUAUAUUAUGGUUUGUUACUAUAAUGUCAGUAUUUUCUCCUUUUUUUUUGUUUCUUUUUAGUCUAGGUUUUGAUGAGAGGCCUCAAGGGAAUUUAAUCUU